GGGUCUAUUAGUCUGUAUAGUAUCACUACUGAUGAGCAGCACGACCCUCUGUCUAUACCCUUGUCUUUUGCGCACUCAUGUUUCCUCGGCGGCUUGAUACCCGCCGGCUGGAUCAAUCUAUAACCUUUUUAAUUUUCAAUCAGCGUCUGAAAAACCUAAUAAUUACAACUUUCAACAACGGAUCUCUUGGUUCUGGCAUCGAUGAAGAACGCAGCGAAAUGCGAUAAGUAGUGUGAAUUGCAGAAUUCAGUGAAUCAUCGAAUCUUUGAACGCACAUUGCGCCCCUUGGUAUUCCAUGGGGCAUGCCUGUUCGAGCGUCAUUUGUACCCUCAAGCUCUGCUUGGUGUUGGGUGUUUGUCCACUAUCGUGGACUCGCCUUAAAGUCAUUGGCAGCCAGUGUUUUGGUAUUGAAGCGCAGCACAUUUUGCGCCUCUAGCCUAGAACACUAGCGUCCAGUAAGCCUUUUUCCACUUUUGACCUCGGAUCAGGUAGGGAUACCCGCUGAACUUAAGCAUAUCAAUAAGCGG
rnacentral:rRNA from 1 species